rnacentral:rRNA from 1 species
CCUACGGGGGGCUGCAGUAGGGAAUCUUCCGCAAUGGACGAAAGUCUGACGGAGCAACGCCGCGUGAGCGAAGAAGGUCUUCGGAUCAUAAAGCUCUGUUGUUAGGGAAGAACAAGUACGGGAGGAAAUGACCGUACCUUGACGGUACCUAACGAGGAAGCCACGGCUAACUACGUGCCAGCAGCCGCGGGAAUAAGUAGGUGGCAAGCGUUGUCCGGAAUUAUUGGGCGUAAAGCGCGGGCGGGCGGGUUUGUAAGUGGGAGGGGGAAUCUUGGGGAUCAACCGUAAGGGGGCACGGGGAGCGGGGAGAGAUGAGUGGAGAAGGGGAGCGCGGAAUGACACGGGGAGCGGUGAAAUGGGUAGAGAUGUGGGGGGGCACCGGGGGCGAAGGCGGCUUUAUGGUGUGUGACUGGCGCUGGGGCGCGAAGGCGUGGGGAGCAAAGAGGAUGAGAUACCCUAGUAGUC